GGGUUUACAGUUUAGGGUUUUGGGUUUAUAUUUGGGUUUAGGAUUUAGUAAUUAGUGUUUAGGGUUUAGUAAUUUCGUUCUUAAACUUGGUCAUUUGGAAAAUAUAAAUGGAGUGGACCAGUACAUCUAUACUAUUUAUAGCGGUUCCAUACUAUGUCUUCUACAUUGAGAAAAUUGACAACAUUUUAUAUAGAUUUUGUUUGGGUUUAUACUUUAGUUAUUUGGGUUUAGAUUUAGUAACUAGGGGUUUGUCUAGGGUUUUAGUAUUUAAGUGGGUGAGUAGAGCUUAGUUUUUAGGGUUUAUAUUUGGGUUUAGGGUUUAUAUUUGGGUUUAGGGUUUAGUGAUUAGGGUUUAGGGUUUAUAUUUGGGUUUAGGGUUUAGUGAUUAGGGUUUAGGGUUUAUAUUUGGGUUUAGGGUUUAGUGAUUAGGGUUUAGGGUUUAUAUUUGGGUUUAGGGUUUAGCAAUUAGGGUUUAGAGUUUAGUGAUUAGUGUUUAGGGUUUAUAUAUGUGUUUAGGGUUUAGUGAUUAGGGUUUAGGGUUUAUAUUUCAGUUUAGGGUUUAGUGAUUAGGAUUUAAGGUUUAGUGAUUAGUGUUUAGGGUCUAUAUAUGGGUUUAGGGUUUAGUGAUUAGGGUUUAUAUUUGGGUUUAUGGUUUAGUGAUUAGGGUUUAGGGUUUAGUAAUUUUCUUUUCAAACUAGAGUUUAGGGUUUAGGGUUUAGGAUUUAUAUGUCAUGUCUUCAAAUUUGAUAUUUCUCUUCUAUGCCAUUUUGUAUGAUUGCUCGUAAUAUAAAAUUAGUUUUAUUCAAAUGUUUGACAAUGUUAGGGUCAU
rnacentral:lncRNA from 1 species